AAUGAAGUGCAAUGCUUGCUGGCGGGAUUUGGAAGGGCAAGCUGUAUCGACCACCUGUGGUCAUCUUUUAUCAGGUGCAGAUGAUGCUAGGAAAAUACUCAAUAAUGAUGGUACAUGUCCAAUUUGUGAUCAGGUGCUCUCAAAAAGCCAUAUGAAACCUAUGGAUAUAAAUCCAGGUGAUGAUUGGAG